rnacentral:SRP_RNA from 1 species
CCGUGCAGCCGGGGCGUUAGCGGUGCCCUGUACCUACAAUCCGCUCUAGUAGGGGUGAUGCUUGAUUGAGGGCUUUUGGCUUGUGUAGCUGCCCUUUAUAAGUGGCGUUGAAGUUUGGGUCUUGCGCAAUGGGAAUCCAUGAACCGUGUCAGGGUGGGAACACAGCAGCACUAAGUGGAACCUUCCAUGUGCCGUAAGGGUGCCUGGCGGAGUUAACUGUAAAGGUAACGUGCAUGAGUCUGGUUCGAUAAAAAGCGCACGG